AGCUGCGUCAGGCAUGUGUACCAGCACUGUAACCUUACGGCUUCCAUGAAAGGGCUCUUCACCUGCAGCCUGCUUAGGCUCUUGGCCGGCUCUCUUUCCAGCCUUGGAGCUGGUUCCAGAGUGAUCUGGGCCCAGUUUCUGAUCCUGA